rnacentral:hammerhead_ribozyme from 1 species
CCGCUACUGAGGUGUCCCACAAUAGAACGAAACAGCUGUCUAGUGC